AUGGAUCUCAAUCCGCAAGUCUUGUGCUGGAAUGUGCGUGGACUGAAUGACCCGGCGAAGAAGAAGGCGGUCAGAGAAUUCGUUUCGUCUGUUAGAGUAAACUUAGUGUGUCUUCAAGAGACCAAACUGGAUGUAAUUGACAAUUUCUGUGUGAUGCAAUGCUUAGGCCCAUCGUUCGACGGUUUCGCGUACUUGCCCUCGGUUGACACUAGAGGGGGGAUUCUCCUGGCUUGGGAUUCCACUAUCAUGGACAUUGAUUGCAUUCAUCUGGACAGCAACUUCCUCACAGGUUUAGUUCACAACAAAGAUGGGGCCUCAUGGUGGAUUUCGGUCGUUUAUGGACCACAGGGAGAUGACCUCAAAUCUCAGUUCCUAGAAGAUUUGCGAGCUAGAAGACUUGGCUGUACAGGCCCAUGGAUGAUUCUCGGAGAUUUCAAUAUGAUCCUUCGGGCGUCUGAGAAGAGCAACUCGAACUUGAACAGAGCUAUGAUGCGUAAGUUCCGGGACUUCAUGGACACUCAUGAGCUUAAAGAGCUGUACAUGCACGGCAGAAACUUCACUUGGACAAAUGAGAGAGAUAAUCCAAUCAUGACUAGGAUUGACAGAAUCUUAGUCUCUGUGGAUUGGGAGUUACACUUCACGGACUGCUUACUACAGGGGACGAGGCUCCUCUGA
rnacentral:rRNA from 1 species